rnacentral:lncRNA from 1 species
AGGAGUCCCAGAUCGGGAAGGAGGGCUGGGCCACCCCUGUCUCUCACUGCCUGCCCCAUGACCAGGCGUCGUGGUCAUGAUGCUGACCUCCGAGCCAGAGCUCACCCUGGCUGAGCUGAGGCAGAGCUGAUCUGUUUCUCUGCCAAAGAUGUCAUCAACAAGGCCUGGUUCUUCCCUGAGGACCAGCUCGGGAACCCCAACCUGGUGGCCACACCGCAACCCUCCACACCUAUGGAGCAGGCCCGAGAGGACAGUCACAUGUGCCUGGCCCCCAAAGCGUUUGGGGGUGAGGGUGUCUACGCUGUUGCCAGAUGCUGCCUGCCUCCCCGGGCCAACUGCAGCAUCCAUACAGCUUUGCCAGCUGGGCCUGGUGUGCAGACCCAUGCCUGAUGCCCCCAGCAGGGCUACGUGCUCACAGCUUCAGGAUCAGACCCUAAAAAGAUAGACUGAUAAGGACGGAAGAGGAGAGACAGAAAGUCCCUGAGCAUCCGAGUGUCUGAGCCGGUCCUCCCCUGCCCCAGGCUGCUGCUCCCACUGGGCGGUGGUCCCUGGCACCAGUGGUCAGCUCCUGUGACUGUCCUGGCCCGGGUGGUGGGGCUUAGCCACGGAGGGAGUGUGCAGGAUACUGGGCCCUGAGAGAGGAGCCCACAGCUCUGAUGGACUGGCUGUGGCGGGGGCAGUGGAGGGGGGGCUGCCAAGGUUUUUUCGCUUUGCCCCUGAUGGGGAUGGUGAGAGCUGCGGGAAGCCUGGUGUCUGGGGAAGAAGAGGAGCUCGU